rnacentral:rRNA from 1 species
CCUACGGGAGGCAGCAGUGGGGAAUCUUGCGCAAUGCGCAAAAGCGUGACGCAGCAACGCCGCGUGGGGGAAGAAGGCCUUCGGGUUGUAAACCCCUUUCAGUUGGGACGAAGCUCACUCGGUGAAUAGCCGAGCGGAGUGACGGUACCUUCAGAAGAAGCCCCGGCUAACUACGUGCCAGCAGCCGCGGUAAU